CCUCCCCAUAAGGGUUUUUUCUUUUUAAAUUAUUUUGGAUUCAGUAAGUAAAAAAAAUAGUAUUAAAUAAACUAUAUUUUUCAAAAGAUAAAAUAUGAUAUUUAUGUAUCCAUAAGAAAAGAUACAUUUUUCCACUAUUCUUUCCAAACCAAAAAAUAUUAAUUAGUUCUGAUUUCAUCAAAAACUUCUUUAUGUUAUUACACACUAAA